GUUAACCUAUUCAGCUUGGUUUCUCUCUCUCUCUCUCUCUCUCUCUCUCUCACACACACACACACACACAGAGAGAGAGAGAGAGAGAGAGAGAGAGAGAGAGGGGCACUCAAAGUUUACACAGCAAC